AGACGGAGGGGGCUAGCGUUGUUCGGAAUUACUGGGCGUAAAGCGCGCGUAGGCGGUUGAUCAAGUUGGGCGUGAAAGCCCGGGGCUCAACCCCGGAACUGCGUUCAAAACUGGUCGGCUAGAGUCCGGAAGAGGAGAGUGGAAUUCCCAGUGUAGAGGUGAAAUUCGUAGAUAUUGGGAAGAACACCAGUGGCGAAGGCGGCUCUUUGGUCCGGUACUGACGCUGAGGUGCGAAAGCGUGGGGAGCAAACAGGAUUAGAAACCCGAGUAGUCC
rnacentral:rRNA from 1 species